rnacentral:snRNA from 1 species
UUAGCUCUCUUUGCCUUUUGGCUUAGAUCAAGUGUAGUAUCUGUUCUUUUUAGUUUAAUCGCUAAAACUGUUUUACGAAACAAAUCGAUUAUUCUGAUUUUUGAAAACCGCCUUUGGGUCCCUGGGCUUGCUCAUACUCAUUGGCACAGUGUCGCCGGUAUUUCACUACCUCCGGUGUACGCGACCUUUU